rnacentral:rRNA from 1 species
CUCCGGUGAUCCCUGCCGGACCUGACUGCUAUCGGAUUGGUACUAAGCCAUGCGAGUCGUUGUAGCAAUACAAGGCGGACGGCUCAGUAACACGUAGUCAACCUAACCUAUGGACGUGGAUAACCUCGGGAAACUGAGAAUAAACCGCGAUAGAUCAUUAUGCCUGGAAUGGCUUAUGGUUCAAACAAUUUAUUGCCGUAGGAUGGGACUGCGGCCUAUCAGCUUGUUGGUGAGGUAAUGGCCCACCAAGGCUAUAACAGGUACGGGCUCUGAGAGGAGAAGCCCGGAGAUGGGUACUGAGACACGGACCCAGGCCCUAUGGGGCGCAGCAGGCGAGAAACCUUAGCAAUGUGCGAAAGCACGACUAGGUUAAUCCGAGUGAUUUCUGUUGAAGAAAUCUUUUGUCAGUCGUAAAACCACAGACGAAUAAGGGGUGGGCAAGUCUGGUGUCAGCCGCCGCGGUAAUACCAGCACCUCGAGUGGUCAGGAGGUUUAUUGGGCCUAAAGCAUCCGUAGCCGGCUACGCAAGUCUCCGGUUAAAUCCAGCUGCUCAACAGAUGGGCUGCCGGAGAUACUACAUAGCUAGGGAGCGGGAGAGGUAGACGGUAUUCUGUGGGUAGGGGUAAAAUCCACUGAUCCAUAGAGGACCACCAGUGGCGAAGGCGGUCUACCAGAACGCGUUCGACGGUGAGGGAUGAAAGCUGGGGGAGCAAACCGGAUUAGAUACCCGGGUAGUCCCAGCUGUAAACGAUGCAAACUCGGUGAUGCAUUGGCUUAUGGCCAAUGCAGUGCCGCAGGGAAGCCGUUAAGUCUGCCGCCUGGGGAGUACGGUCGCAAGACUGAAACUUAAAGGAUUUGGCGGGGGAGCA